CGGCCAAGUUCGAGCCUUAGUAGUCGUGCUGACGUGGUUCGAGGCGGAGGUCGGUUUCUUGGAGGAGGGGAGGGCGGCCUGCUCGAAGAGGAUGUGCGGGAUGAAGGUGGCUGGAGGUAGCGAGAGAUGGGGCUCCUCCUUAAUUAGGUUCACCGCGGUAAGUGAUUCCAACAACAGAUAUUUUCCUCCUCCUUGGUUUAAUUACAUAAACAGACGGUUACUUCGAUCACAAACUUUUUUAUUUUACAUGAAUGGACGUAUAGAUCCUCGUAGUCUAUUGCCGUAGUCACGACCACCUAACGCCCGACCCGAGUCACGACCAAGUUGGUUGAGCGAGCUAAUCUGUGGUGGUCAACAUCUCUCAAUGAGAUAGUCGAUUGUACCCCCGUACACCUCGUUAAGACGUUCUAUCAUGACCGUACAAGUAACGUCGUCGCUGUGGAUUCGAAGUAGUACAUCUACUACAAACAGCCGACUCCGACGUCGAGACCACCUCCCACACUUCGAACGUUUAUGUCGACCAACAUUACGUUAGGCCCACGUUAGCCUGACGUACCAAGAAUGUCUUUGAGACGUUGUUUUGCGCCCCGUAAGCUACCACGGUCCGGGUUAAGACCUCCUUAUGGACAAUGAAAAUCAACCUAAGCCCUUCCAGCGAAAUCUCGUAAACAUUAGCACUAAGAUUAUACCAUCUAGUACACGAUCGCGUCUUACCAGCACAACUAGUUGGUUUGAACGCCAACCUGAGUGGAGAACGAAAAUAAAAAAUUGAAAAUUACCUACUACAUUAGCCACGAAUUAUAAUUAUUUCGAUCGGUACUACCAGAAGGGG
rnacentral:rRNA from 1 species